rnacentral:tRNA from 1 species
GCUAAGAUGGCAGAGCCCGGUAAUUGCGAAAGGCCUAAGCCCUUUAAUCCAGAGGUUCAAACCCUCUUCUUAGUU